rnacentral:rRNA from 1 species
AGUUUGAUCCUGGCUCAGGACGAACGCUGGCGGCGUGCCUAAUACAUGCAAGUCGAACGCUGCUUAAGAAGAAACUUCGGUUUUUUCUUAAGCGGAGUGGCGGACGGGUGAGUAACACGUGGGAACCUAUCCAUCAGCGGGGGAUAACACUUGGAAACAGGUGCUAAUACCGCAUAUGGCUUUUUUUCACCUGAAAGAAAGCUCAAAGGCGCUUUACAGCGUCACUGAUGGCUGGUCCCGCGGUGCAUUAGCCAGUUGGUGAGGUAACGGCUCACCAAAGCAACGAUGCAUAGCCGACCUGAGAGGGUGAUCGGCCACACUGGGACUGAGACCGGCCCAGACUCCUACGGGAGGCAGCAGUAGGGAAUCUUCGGCAAUGGACGCAAGUCUGACCGAGCAACGCCGCGUGAGUGAAGAAGGUUUUCGGAUCGUAAAGCUCUGUUGUCAGCAAAGAACAGGAGAAAGAGGAAAUGCUUUUUCCAUGACGUACC